AUAAUCGUUUAUAUACCACCCAGUCUGCAUCCUUCAGCAUGUAUUUUAAGCGAGGCGAUCGAGUUAUAUUAGGUUUAUUAUUUUGAGGAAACCGAAUAACAAUAGGAAAGUGGUCACUACCAUACGAAUGAGAAAGGAUUUCCCAAAUUUUACAAAUUCUAUGCAGACGUGCCCGUUUUCUUUUAUUUACAUUGGAUGUUGAACAAUCAGUAUCCAUACUAGAGGCAGUAUCUACAGUUAUGAACUGUGAAGGUUCAGGAACAACACCCCAGGGUCUGGGGGCUCCUUCAUCCUGCUCAUAAUAUAUUAAAUUUUAUUAAAAAAAAACUUACCAA